rnacentral:rRNA from 1 species
GGAUAACUACUGGAAACGGUAGCUAAUACCGCAUAACGUCGCAAGACCAAAGAGGGGGACCUUCGGGCCUCUUGCCAUCAGAUGUGCCCAGAUGGGAUUAGCUAGUAGGUGGGGUAACGGCUCACCUAGGCGACGAUCCCUAGCUGGUCUGAGAGGAUGACCAGCCACACUGGAACUGAGACACGGUCCAGACUCCUACGGGAGGCAGCAGUGGGGAAUAUUGCACAAUGGGCGCAAGCCUGAUGCAGCCAUGCCGCGUGUAUGAAGAAGGCCUUCGGGUUGUAAAGUACUUUCAGCGGGGAGGAAGGCGUUGUGGUUAAUAACCACAGCGAUUGACGUUACCCGCAGAAGAAGCACCGGCUAACUCCGUGCCAGCAGCCGCGGUAAUACGGAGGGUGCAAGCGUUAAUCGGAAUUACUGGGCGUAAAGCGCACGCAGGCGGUCUGUCAAGUCGGAUGUGAAAUCCCCGGGCUCAACCUGGGAACUGCAUUCGAAACUGGCAGGCUAGAGUCUUGUAGAGGGGGGUAGAAUUCCAGGUGUAGCGGUGAAAUGCGUAGAGAUCUGGAGGAAUACCGGUGGCGAAGG